AUAAAGCACCAUACCUACAUGCUCACAGUUCACAGAUUUGCUUUGCUUUCACAUCUUUCAUCUAUUAAUAAUCUAUCAUCUUUAUAUUUUUCUAGUCUUCUUAUCAUCUCAUUCAUCAAUUCAAACAUGGUGCACAAGGGUUUUCUUUCUGUCAGACUUCUGCUGCUCUUUCUGGGUUUCUCUUUUGUGCUCUCUUCUCUUGCUGUUCCUUCAACUAGAAGCCUCAAAUCAACUGAAGAAAACCCAUCAUCAGUUCAAGAUUUUCUCACUCAGGAUGCAAUGGACUUGAAUCUUGUAGAGGAACAAGUUCUUGAUUUGGGAGAAGGGUAUAUUAAUGGAAGGAUGGAUUUGGAAAGCACAGAUUAUCCAGGAACUGGAGCAAACAAUCACCAUGAUCCAAAAACUCCAGGAAGAGCUUAAAGAAUUUAUCCAUGUGCAGAUCAAGACUUCAAAACAAGAAGAAAGAGGAAGAAGAAGCUGUGGAUUUGGGUUUGCUUUUUAUGCAUUAUAUUAAUUAAUUAUGAAGAGGAUGCUUGUUUGUCUGUCUAUUUAUGGAAUGUAUUAAUUAAUUAAUUAUUCAAUAAUCUAACUUUUAAUUCAGAUUAGAAGAAGAGGAAGGGGAAGGGGAGGUUCCAUUUUGUACAAGGAAUGCAGGAAUUAAUGCUAUGGAUCUAAAAUGUGGUGGGUUUUAAUUAUUAACUGGGGAUGCAAAUUGUCAUUUGUAUUUUGUAUCUAGAGAAGUAUGAUGUAAAUGAUGAUGAUGAUGACGAUGAUGUUGUCUGUUUUUGUUAUGAAAGUGGGAAUUUGUGGCCUAAAAACCUAUUGGAUUUCAACUCAAAACAUUAAAAAUUAAAAGCAAGAU
rnacentral:misc_RNA from 1 species